GAAAUCUCGGGCUAUCGGGCCAAUAUGGCCAAAUCCAGUGCUCUCCCUAUCUACAUGACUCAAACUGAGAGAGAAAACAUACACCGCACCUACAAAAUCCGGAUGGAGCUAGAGGCGCUUAAAUAUCUGGGGAUAAGCCUCACGGCGGACCUGGGUGCCUUGUACGCCCAUAACUUUACGCCCUUGUGGAGAACCAUAACCAAAGAUUUAGAAACGUGGCUAGACAAGCCCAUAUCGUGGAUAGGCCGGAUCCAUGUCAUAAAAAUGAAUGUCCUCCCUCGGAUAUUGUUUAUGUUCCAGGCACUACCCAUACACUUGUCGAAGGCCCAAUUAGCACCAAUCCAACAGGCUAUAGGUCGCUUUAUUUGGC